rnacentral:tRNA from 1 species
AGAGGGGCCAUGGCUCAGUAGUGAAGCAUCUGCUUGGCAUGCAGAAGGUCCCAGGUUCAAUGCCCAGCCUCUCCA